rnacentral:rRNA from 1 species
GAGUUUGAUCCUGGCUCAGAUUGAACGCUGGCGGCAUGCCUUACACAUGCAAGUCGAACGGCAGCAUGAUCUAGCUUGCUAGAUUGAUGGCGAGUGGCGAACGGGUGAGUAAUACAUCGGAACGUGCCCUGUAGUGGGGGAUAACUAGUCGAAAGAUUAGCUAAUACCGCAUACGACCUGAGGGUGAAAGUGGGGGACCGCAAGGCCUCAUGCUAUAGGAGCGGCCGAUGUCUGAUUAGCUAGUUGGUGGGUAAAGGCCCACCAAGGCGACGAUCAGUAGCUGGUCUGAGAGGACGAUCAGCCACACUGGGACUGAGACACGGCCCAGACUCCUACGGGAGGCAGCAGGUGGGGAAUUUGGACAAUGGGCGAAAGCCUGAUCAGCAAUGCGCGUGUGUGAAGAAGC